rnacentral:lncRNA from 1 species
GGUUUCGGCUUGGGCUCGGGCUUUGGUUCAGGUUUAGGCUUAGGCUCAGGCUUAGGUAGUGGUUCGGGUUUUGGUUCCGGCUUCGGCUCAGGCUUAGGCUCGGGUUUUGGUUUGGGCUCGGGCUUAGGCUCUGGUUUGGGUAGUGGUUCUGGUUUUGGUUCUGGCUUGGGCUCGGGCUUAGGCUCUGGUUUGGGCAGUGGCUCUGGCUUUGGCUCUGGUUUUGGCAAUGGUUUGGGCUUUGGUUCCGGCUUGGGCUCAGGCUUAGGCUCUGGUUUUGGUAGUGGUUCAGGUUUUGGUUCCGGCUUGGGUUCAGGCUUAGGCUCGGGCUUUGGUUCCGGCUUGGGCUCAUGCUUAGGUUGCAGUGGUUCGGGUAUGGGUUCUGUGCUUGGGUUCAGGCUUAGUGCUCGGUGCUUUGGGUAUCGUGCUUGGGCUCAGGCUUAGGCUCCGGUAUCGGCAUCGGUUCGGGCUUUGGUUCUGGCUAGGGCUCAGGCUUAGGCUCAGGUUUUGGUUUUGGCAUGGGCUCAGGUUUUGGUUCAGGCUUAGGCUCCGGCUUAGGCUCAGGCUUAGGUUUUGGUUCUGGCUUGGGCUCCGGUUUUGGCAGUGGUUCAGGCUUGGGCUCAGGCUCGGGUUUUGGUUCAGGCUUAGGCUCAGGUUUUGGCUUUGGCUCAGGCUUUUUUGGCUUUGGCUUUGGUUCAGGCAUAGGCUUGGGCAUCGGUUCGGGUUUGGGCUUUGGCUCUGGCUUCGUUAUGGGUUUAGGUUGAGGCUCAGGUUUAG